rnacentral:tRNA from 1 species
GCGCCGAUGGUGUAAGGCGCAGCCUCCUGCCCGGAAAACAGAGGGUGCAGGUUCGAGUCCUGCUCGAUGCA